AAUUAGGGACAAAAAUAAAAAAAGAUUGUACACCCGGUAAGUUGAAAACCUGAAAAGGCAACUUAGGCAAAAAUGGGUAUCCCGGUGGAUUGAAAACCCGAAAAGGGCGAUCCAGGCAAAAGUUAGGGAUUAAGCGAAUGACUGCGUUCUGAGUAGUUCUGAAUCUCAUCUCGUGCCAAUGACUGGAAAUUUUCGAAAGGGUAGGAAACAGUCCAAUCACCUUCUCAGAAGGCUGAUCAUCUGGAGGAUCUUGAAGA
rnacentral:lncRNA from 1 species